GUCCAUGCCGUAAACGUUGGGCACUAGGUGUGGGGGACAUUCCACGUUUUCCGCGCCGUAGCUAACGCAUUAAGUGCCCCGCCUGGGGAGUACGGCCGCAAGGCUAAAACUCAAAGAAAUUGACGGGGGCCCGCACAAGCGGCGGAGCAUGCGGAUUAAUUCGAUGCAACGCGAAGAACCUUACCAAGGCUUGACAUAUACUGGACUGCGUCAGAGAUGGCGUUUCCCUUCGGGGCUGGUAUACAGGUGGUGCAUGGUU
rnacentral:rRNA from 1 species